rnacentral:rRNA from 1 species
AUUGAACGCUGGCGGCAGGCCUAACACAUGCAAGUCGAACGAGUGGCGGACGGGUGAGUAAUGUCUGGGAAACUGCCUGAUGGAGGGGGAUAACUACUGGAACCGGUAGCUAAUACCGCAUACCAUCAGAUGUGCCCCGAUGGGAUUAGCUAGUUGGUGGGGUAACGGAUCACAAAGGCGACGAUCCCUCGCUGGUCUGAGAGGAUGAACAGACACACUGGAACUGAGACCCGGUCCAGACUCCUACGGGAGGCGGCAGUGGGGAAUAUUGCACAAUGGGCGCAAGCCUGAUGCAGCCAUGCCGCGUGUAUGAAGAAGGCCUUCGGGUUGUAAAGUACUUUCAGCGGGGAGGCGUUACCCGCAGAAGAAGCACCGGCUAACUCCGUGCCAGCAGCCGCGGUAAUAC